UCGUUGUUAGUGUUGCUAGCAGAGUGGUAGUGCAGCUUCCUACAUAGGGUCUUCAUAAAAAAAUAACCAUGGCGGCCACUGAAAUAGCUAGGCAAGCGGGAGAAGGUGCUCGUGCCGUCCCUCUAGCCGGCCAUGUCGGCUUUGAUAGCAUGCCCGACCAGCUGGUCAACAAGUCUGUCAACCACGGCUUCUGCUUCAACAUCCUCUGUGUCGGGGAAACGGGCCUGGGUAAGUCCACUCUUAUGGACACCCUGUUCAACACCAAGUUUGAGGGCGAGCCCACCCAGCACAACCAGCCAGGCGUGCAGCUCAAGUCCAACACAUACGAGCUCCAGGAGAGCAACGUGCGCCUCAAGCUGACCGUGGUCAACACUGUGGGCUUCGGAGACCAGAUCAACAAAGAGGACAGCUACAAGUCCAUUGUUGAGUUUAUCGACACCCAGUUCGAGGCCUAUCUGCAGGAGGAGCUGAAAAUCAAGCGCACGCUACACAGCUACCACGACACGCGCAUCCACGCCUGCCUGUACUUCAUUGCGCCCACCGGACACUCUCUCAAGUCCCUGGACCUGGUAACUAUGAAGAAACUGGACAGCAAGGUCAACAUCAUCCCCAUCAUUGCCAAGUCAGAUGCCAUCUCCAAGAGCGAGCUGACCAAGUUCAAGAUCAAGAUCACCAGUGAGCUGGUCAGCAACGGCGUUCAGAUCUACCAGUUCCCCACCGACGACGAGACGGUGGCAGAGAUCAACUCCACCAUGAACGGCCAUUUGCCGUUCGCCGUUGUGGGAAGCACGGAGGAAGUAAAGAUCGGCAACAAGAUGGUGAAAGCGCGGCAGUACCCCUGGGGAACGGUGCAGGUGGAGAAUGAGAACCACUGUGACUUUGUGAAGCUGCGGGAGAUGCUGAUCCGGGUAAACAUGGAGGACCUGCGGGAGCAGACACACACGCGCCACUAUGAGCUCUACCGCCGCUGCAAGCUGGAGGAGAUGGGAUUCAAGGACACGGACCCCGACUGCAAACCCUUCAGUCUGCAGGAGACGUACGAGGCCAAGAGGAACGAGUUCAUGGGUGACCUGCAGAAGAAGGAGGAGGAGAUGAGGCAGAUGUUCGUCCAGAGAGUCAAGGAGAAGGAAGCCGAACUGAAGGAGGCAGAGAAAGAGCUGCACGAGAAGUUUGACCGGCUCAAGAAGCUGCACCAGGAUGAGAAGAAGAAGCUGGAGGACAAGAAGAAAUCCCUGGAUGACGAGCUCAACGGCUUCAAGCAGAAAAAGACGGCCGCCGAGCUCCUACAGUCCCAGGCCCAGCAGGCAGGGGGCUCCACCACACUCAAGAGGGACAAGGAGAGGAAAAAUAUCAGGCUGCAGUAGGAGUGCCGUGUUGACAGUUAGAGGUUGUUGUCGUGGGUCCCUUCAUGUUGGUAAUCACUCCUGGUUGUCUAUUCAAACUGAUGCGAGCCUUGCCACCUGCCCUGUUAGAAAGGAUGAAGACACUUGCACUGAGAGUUCAGGAUUCCUGUAGAAAAGUGCUUCCUCCCUCAGCCAGCUGUGAAUGAGUUUUCACCCCAUCCUUGGCAGUGCCAUGCUGUUCUCUGUGCCCUCCUGCCCCCCCCCAUUCCAACCCCCGCACAUGCCCCUGCUCUGAGGAAGAAUCCAGCCAUUACUGUGAAUGGGAAUCCUUGACUCGAAUGCAUGCUUCUUUUAUACGUUCUUUCACAAGUCAUCAUUCUGCGUUUGCCUGUUUUUUUUUUAUGUUGGAAGGUAGACCUUCUCUUUUUGUUUGUUAGCCUGUUUCCGCACGACUGAGUGUGCUUUUAACUUUAACAUGCGCAACUACUGUUUUGACCGGCAGGAGUUUGUGGAGGCUAAGGUGAAACGCACAUCCACUAUGGUCUGACCAAGCGAGUGGUGUGUGUGUGUGUGUGUGGUAUGUAGUCUGUGCUCAUUGCAUAUACUUGGCAGGGGCAGCAUAUUCACGUCCAUGUUUCAUACUACCACUAUUCUACUCACUCCACUAAACCACUCCAGUAGUUUGAGAUAAUGAAGAUGUGCACUGAUAUCGUAUUGGCAUACAAUGCAUAAUUAUUGAAAAUGAAGACACAAUCGUAGUACGUUUCUAAAUGAAGGCAUGUUGUCCACCGCCCAUUAAGAGUAGCCUGGUCCCAGAUCUGUUUGUACUUUUGCCUACUCUAAACAUUGCAUGACUAUCAGUUACAGGAAGUUGGAAUGAUAGCGCAAACAAACUGGUGCCGAGGCUAUCAAGACAGUGUGUGUUAAUAGUGAACUGCUGAUGUUAUUUCAUCUUAGCCUGGUGCAUGUGAAGACAUUCAUGCUUUCUCACCAUCUCUUUGCCAUACCUCAUUGUUUUUAAUAUACUUUGUUAUCUGCAUACUUGUUAGCUUUUGACGUUUUACACAAAUAUGAUUUUUAUAUUUCUAUUGCAAUUGGGACUUUUUUAAUGUAUAUUUUUUAUAUAUAUUAAAGCACAUUUUAUUCCAAUUAAACAAAAAACAAUCAUGUAGGGAUCAGUAUUACACUUGUAUCAGUGUUACACAAAAAAGACUUAAUAUCCAAAGGAAAUAAAGCGUGAAUUUCACCAAAUAUUUCAACUGUGGCCACGAUUAUUGUGUAUGAAAUGUAUAAUCAAGCAGUAUUUUAAACAUAACAGUGUGUGAGUGGGUUCUGAAAAUGUGAGGAUAUAAGGGUUUCACAUAGAUUCUGACUACAGUUGGAAACACUUGGUUUGGUCUAGAUAUUUAACUCCUUCAAGGGCUUUGAGAUAUCCCGCCAUUGUUAUUGUCAAAACAACUCUCCUUACAGAGCAAAAUUGUCUGCAAACCUGAAUUCAUAGGGCUGGAUCCUAACUUGGACUUUCUUAUUAAUCAUGCCUUGAAGUCAGUAGAACACUUGCAUGAGCAUUUAAGUUAGGUGCAUAAAUGUCAUGUUAGUAUUCAGCCUUAUAGUGCUGCACUGCUUUUGUCCGAACAGACUGAGCCAGUAGUCAUUCUCCAUUCCUCCUAGAGAAACAGGAUUGGAACACUCCAUUGUUUGGCAGAUGAGUGUGAGCGCCAAUGAGAUUGUUGGUUUUUAAUUUCAACUCCACUUCCUUCUCAUCUGUAUCUUGAGGACAGGGUGUUGUUUAUCAGGAAAAUAUUUCUAAGAACCCCUACACCACCCUCCAAAAAUAUGUCUGUGUCCUUGCUCAAUAUAACCCACAUGCCUUUGUACGGUGACACAGGUCAGACAGUUGGUCUGAUGAGUCAAAUGUCCACAGAUGUAGGUAUUUUGUUUUCAUCUAAAUGUAUCGAAAUGAGUCGCUUACGUACUUACACAUUCUUGUACAAUGGUGUAGUAGGUGUGGUUUACAACUUCUCACAAUCCCUUCUCAAAUUGCUCUUUGUCUCAAUGUCUCUGGGGGAACUGUUGUCCUAAGCUCUAUGGGUUGGCAGGGUGUGCCUUGGUGUGUGGUCAUUCAUACAUACUGUGCUUUAGUUCCUCUGCUCACUGCUCUGUGUGUAUUUACCUUUCCUUUGCAGUAAACCCUGGCUCUGCACUGAGUAGGUGCUUCCACCCUCAAGCUUUGCUAAGGGACCAGGCUUUGUGGGUAGCGGGUACCCCAAGGCUGAGGAGAGGCAUUGUGAACCCACCCUUCUGGGUUAAAAAAAAACAAACAUUCAUCUGCUUUAUGUAUUAACAAAAGGAUUCCCCUAUCUGUAUUUCAUUGCUGCUCUAUGUGCUGACUCUGUGGCUAAAUCUGUCUUUUGCGUAUGGUUAUGCUUUUUUGUCAUGUCGUGUUUUUGCUGUGCUGACUGACUAAUAUCACCAUUUGCUUCUGUAGGGAUAGAUAUUUUCUGGACUGUUUUUGUUGUGCACUUCUUGGUAGUUUUCCCAUCAUUAUUAGGUUUAAGAUUGUCUGUUUUGAUUUAUUAACUGACACUGAAUACCUUUUUUGUAAUUUACAGAGGACAUAAUAUCUGCUGCAAGCAGUCCUCACAAGCAAUUUAUUCAAUGUUUUAAAUCCGUAUUAUGCUCAAAUUGAAUUGGUCAGCUCAAGUACUGUAGUAUUUUAUUAUGAGUAGUUAUUUUAGCUUACCACACAGACAUUGCAUUUGUAACAGAGUUAGUGUCAUUUGAAGUACAGUAGCAACUAUACAUGCGUUAGGAAAACCCAAAUACGUAUGGUCUUCCCUCCCCAAAAUGUCAGUAAUCCUUCUGGUAGGCACUGUUGCUCUCCCUGACUGCUUGGGCAUCUCUUGUAACCUUGCAUUUGUCUCCUUUCUCUCUAGCUUCUUUUAAUCUGUCUUGGCCACCUGUCUGAAGAGGGGAUUGCAGCUUCAACAAGAACUAAGCACCCAUUUCCUCUUCCUGUCUUUUCUCACUGCAUCAACCUUUUUUUAACUUCCAUCUCAUCUGCUUUGUUGAACAUGGCCGUAUGUGGACUUCACAUGGUAUUUUUUGGAUAGUUUACCUUUUGCCACCUAAUCAAGGUACACUUUGGCAAGUGGGAGUCCUUCACUGAUAAUAUUUUGCAGAUCUGUCUUGGUGUAUGAAUGAACAAAGCUUUGUUCAGGUGCUCAGGUAGGAUUCUAAACAGUUGUUCAAGAGAAAAACAUCAAACCAAUAGUUUCAUCAUACCAUUUGUGGCAGAGCCAAGGCUCUGGAUUAAUUUAUAUUUUGCAUAAAACUAUCAGAACUUAAUUGACAGUACAUUUUAAGAAAGUCUUUAUGUAAUAACGUUCAAUCAUAUAUUCAGUCCAUUUUGAGAAAGACUGUUUUGAAAUAACCAUUACAAAUAGCCUAUUAUUAAUGUGCUCAUCAUUCAAAGGGGGGUUAUGAUUUUUAUUUAUUUAACUAGGCAAGUCAGUUAAGAACAAAUUCUUAUUUACAAUGACUGCCUACCCCGGCCAUAGCCUAACCCGGACGACGCUGGGCCAAUUGUGCGCCGCCCUAUGGGACUCCCAAUCACGGCCAAUUGUGAUACAGCCUGGAAUUGAACCAGGUUCUGUAGUGACACCUCUAGCACUGUGAUGCAGGGCCUUAGACUGCUGCACUACUCGGGAGCCCCUAUGAAUACAAAUAGCACAACCCAGAUCUCAAUAAAGCACUGAUAAACCCGCCAUAUUUAUUUGGUGAUUGAUAGUGCGACGUCUUACCUUGCGUGUGAGUAGUAGAAACUUUUGUCAAUACGGAUUUAAAAACCAUAGGACAAUUGCGAUCCAAAUAAAUACAGUAUUCUUUGUUCACUGCAUAGGUUGUUUCAUUGGAAAUCAGAAGAGCCAAAGACAUGUUCAUGUCAAGCACUUAUUUAGUGAAAACACCUUUUCCGUACUGAAAUGCCAUGUAGGUCGCAUUUAAUGCCCUUUUACGCAUUGUGCUUGAACUACCAUCAGUCUAUUCUGUAUUUUGCAUGUCUUUUUCUUUCAUCACCUCUGUGAUCUUGACCUUUUGCUCCCCAUUGUAGUUUUCUCCCCUAACAGUUUUGCACUCUUUCACAUUUGAUGCUCUAUUGUUUGGACCAGUUUAAUCUUGUGUAUUACUAGUUGUUAUGUGCAGUUAUACCCCUCUCCACAAUUUCCGGCACCCAUAUUGCCAAAUAUUACAAUGAGAUGGAGUUGAAUCCUAGAUACAGAUAGAUACUCAUGCAUUUGUAUAAUUUAUAAGGAUAUAUUUUGUGUAUGGAAGUGGAGACCUGUUUUAUGAAAUAUGAUCUUUGGAUGUGACUCUUCUCUCUGUGUAAAGUUACAUUUUGUUGUAAGAAAUUGCCAUACAUUUUUCUAGCAUCUGCCAUAAUCACCCCUCCUAGUCAAUUACCUGUCCACACCACAAAUUAAUGAUAAAAUAUGUGAUUGUAGUUUGAUUCCAUUUAUGUACAUUUUCAAUAAAAUUAUGAUGAAAAA